rnacentral:rRNA from 1 species
AUACGUAGGGUGCGAGCGUUGUCCGGAAUUACUGGGCGUAAAGAGCUCGUAGGUGGUUUGUCGCGUCGUCUGUGAAAUUCCGGGGCUUAACUCCGGGCGCGCAGGCGAUACGGGCAUAACUUGAGUACUGUAGGGGAGACUGGAAUUCCUGGUGUAGCGGUGAAAUGCGCAGAUAUCAGGAGGAACACCGGUGGCGAAGGCGGGUCUCUGGGCAGUAACUGACGCUGAGGAGCGAAAGCAUGGGUAGCGAACAGGAUUAGAUACCCUGGUAGUCCAUGCCGCAAACGGUGGGCGCUAGGUGUAGGGGUCUUCCACGACUUCUGUGCCGUAGCUAACGCAUUAAGCGCCCCGCCUGGGGAGUACGGCCGCAAGGCUAAAACUCAAAUGAAUUGACGGGG